AUGGGUGCCUAACGCGUAUGCAACCUACCUUCAUCUGGGGGAUAGCCCGGAGAAAUCCGGAUUAAUACCGCAUAAAAUCACAGGAUGGCAUUAUCCAAUGAUCAAACAUUUAUGGGACGGACAUGGGCAUGCGUGUCAUUAUCUAGUUGGCGGGGUAACGGCCCACCAAGGCUACCAUUACAGUGGAUCUGAGAGGAUGGCCCCCCACACUGGUCCUGAGACACGGACCAAACUCCUACGGGAGGCAGCAGUAAGGAAUAUUGGUCAAUGGAGGCAACUCUCAACCAACCAUGCCGCGUGCAUGAAUACUGCCCUAUGGGUUGUAAACUGCUUUUAUCCAGAAAUAAACCACAUUACGUGUAAUGUGCUGAAUGUACCGGAAGAAUAAGGAUCGGCUAACUCCGUGCCAGCACCCGCGGUAAUACGGAGGAUCCAAGCGUUAUCCGGAUUUAUUGUGUUUAAAGGGUGCGUACGCCGCCUGUUAAGUCAGGGGUGAAAGACGGUAGCUCAACUAUCGCACUGCCCUUGAUACUGAUGGGCUUGAACGGACUACAGGUAAGCGGAAUGAAACAAGUAGCGGUGAAAUG
rnacentral:rRNA from 1 species